GGGUUGUGAGGUUAAGCGACUAAGCGUACACGGUGGAUGCCCUGGCAGUCAGAGGCGAUGAAGGGCGUGCUAAUCUGCGAUAAGCGCCGGUAAGGUGAUAUGAACCGUUAUAACCGGCGAUACCCGAAUGGGGAAACCCAGUGUGAUUCGUCACACUAUCAUUAACUGAAUCCAUAGGUUAAUGAGGCGAACCGGGGGAACUGAAACAUCUAAGUACCCCGAGGAAAAGAAAUCAACCGAGAUUCCCCCAGUAGCGGCGAGCGAACGGGGAGGAGCCCAGAGCCUGAAUCAGCAUGUGUGUUAGUGGAAGCGUCUGGAAAGGCGCGCGAUACAGGGUGACAGCCCCGUACACAAAAGCGCAUGUGCUGUGAGCUCGAUGAGUAGGGCGGGACACGUGGUAUCCUGUCUGAAUAUGGGGGGACCAUCCUCCAAGGCUAAAUACUCCUGACUGACCGAUAGUGAACCAGUACCGUGAGGGAAAGGCGAAAAGAACCCCGGCGAGGGGAGUGAAAAAGAACCUGAAACCGUGUACGUACAAGCAGUGGGAGCNNNNNNNNNNNNNNNNNNNNNNNNNNNNNNNNNNNNNNNNNNNNNNNNNNNNNNNNNNNNNNNNNNNNNNNGGGCGUUAAGUUGCAGGGUAUAGACCCGAAACCCGGUGAUCUAGCCAUGGGCAGGUUGAAGGUUGGGUAACACUAACUGGAGGACCGAACCGACUAAUGUUGAAAAAUUAGCGGAUGACCUGUGGCUGGGGGUGAAAGGCCAAUCAAACCGGGAGAUAGCUGGUUCUCCCCGAAAGCUAUUUAGGUAGCGCCUCGUGAAUUCAUCUCCGGGGGUAGAGCACUGUUUCGGCUAGGGGGCCAUCCCGGCUUACCAACCCGAUGCAAACUGCGAAUACCGGAGAAUGUUAUCACGGGAGACACACGGCGGGUGCUAACGUCCGUCGUGAAGAGGGAAACAACCCAGACCGCCAGCUAAGGUCCCAAAGUCAUGGUUAAGUGGGAAACGAUGUGGGAAGGCCCAGACAGCCAGGAUGUUGGCUUAGAAGCAGCCAUCAUUUAAAGAAAGCGUAAUAGCUCACUGGUCGAGUCGGCCUGCGCGGAAGAUGUAACGGGGCUAAACCAUGCACCGAAGCUGCGGCAGCGACACUGUGUGUUGUUGGGUAGGGGAGCGUUCUGUAAGCCUGCGAAGGUGGCCUGUGAGGGUUGCUGGAGGUAUCAGAAGUGCGAAUGCUGACAUAAGUAACGAUAAAGCGGGUGAAAAGCCCGCUCGCCGGAAGACCAAGGGUUCCUGUCCAACGUUAAUCGGGGCAGGGUGAGUCGACCCCUAAGGCGAGGCCGAAAGGCGUAGUCGAUGGGAAACGGGUUAAUAUUCCCGUACUUGGUGUUACUGCGAAGGGGGGACGGAGAAGGCUAUGUUGGCCGGGCGACGGUUGUCCCGGUUUAAGCGUGUAGGUGUGUGUUCCAGGUAAAUCCGGUUCACUUUAACACUGAGGCGUGACGACGAGGCACUACGGUGCUGAAGCAACAAAUGCCCUGCUUCCAGGAAAAGCCUCUAAGCAUCAGGUAACAUCAAAUCGUACCCCAAACCGACACAGGUGGUCAGGUAGAGAAUACCAAGGCGCUUGAGAGAACUCGGGUGAAGGAACUAGGCAAAAUGGUGCCGUAACUUCGGGAGAAGGCACGCUGACACGUAGGUGAAGUGAUUUACUCAUGGAGCUGAAGUCAGUCGAAGAUACCAGCUGGCUGCAACUGUUUAUUAAAAACACAGCACUGUGCAAACACGAAAGUGGACGUAUACGGUGUGACGCCUGCCCGGUGCCGGAAGGUUAAUUGAUGGGGUCAGCGCAAGCGAAGCUCCUGAUCGAAGCCCCGGUAAACGGCGGCCGUAACUAUAACGGUCCUAAGGUAGCGAAAUUCCUUGUCGGGUAAGUUCCGACCUGCACGAAUGGCGUAAUGAUGGCCAGGCUGUCUCCACCCGAGACUCAGUGAAAUUGAACUCGCUGUGAAGAUGCAGUGUACCCGCGGCAAGACGGAAAGACCCCGUGAACCUUUACUAUAGCUUGACACUGAACAUUGAGCCUUGAUGUGUAGGAUAGGUGGGAGGCUUUGAAGUGUGGACGCCAGUCUGCAUGGAGCCGACCUUGAAAUACCACCCUUUAAUGUUUGAUGUUCUAACGUGGACCCGUUACCCGGGUUGCGGACAGUGUCUGGUGGGUAGUUUGACUGGGGCGGUCUCCUCCUAAAGAGUAACGGAGGAGCACGAAGGUUGGCUAAUCCUGGUCGGACAUCAGGAGGUUAGUGCAAUGGCAUAAGCCAGCUUGACUGCGAGCGUGACGGCGCGAGCAGGUGCGAAAGCAGGUCAUAGUGAUCCGGUGGUUCUGAAUGGAAGGGCCAUCGCUCAACGGAUAAAAGGUACUCCGGGGAUAACAGGCUGAUACCGCCCAAGAGUUCAUAUCGACGGCGGUGUUUGGCACCUCGAUGUCGGCUCAUCACAUCCUGGGGCUGAAGUAGGUCCCAAGGGUAUGGCUGUUCGCCAUUUAAAGUGGUACGCGAGCUGGGUUUAGAACGUCGUGAGACAGUUCGGUCCCUAUCUGCCGUGGGCGCUGGAGAACUGAGGGGGGCUGCUCCUAGUACGAGAGGACCGGAGUGGACGCAUCACUGGUGUUCGGGUUGUCAUGCCAAUGGCACUGCCCGGUAGCUAAAUGCGGAAGAGAUAAGUGCUGAAAGCAUCUAAGCACGAAACUUGCCCCGAGAUGAGUUCUCCCUGAGACUUAGAGUCUCCUGAAGGAACGUUGAAGACGACGACGUUGAUAGGCCGGGUGUGUAAGCGCAGCGAUGCGUUGAGCUAACCGGUACUAAUGAACCGUGAGGCUUAACCUUACAACGCCGAAG
rnacentral:rRNA from 1 species